rnacentral:rRNA from 1 species
AUUGAACGCUGGCGGAAUGCUUUACACAUGCAAGUCGAACGGCAGCACGGGUGCUUGCACCUGGUGGCGAGUGGCGAACGGGUGAGUAAUACAUCGGAACGUACCCAGUUGUGGGGGAUAACUAACCGAAAGGUUAGCUAAUACCGCAUACGACCUGAGGGUGAAAGCGGGGGACCGUAAGGCCUCGCGCAAUUGGAGCGGCCGAUGUCUGAUUAGCUAGUUGGUGAGGUAAAGGCUCACCAAGGCGACGAUCAGUAACUGGUCUGAGAGGAUGAUCGGACACACUGGAACUGAGCCACGGUCCAGACUCCAACGGGAGGCAGCAGUGGGGAAUUUUGGACAAUGGGGGAAACCCUGAUCCAGCCAUUCCGCGUGAGUGAAGAAGGCCUUCGGGUUGUAAAGCUCUUUCGGCAGGGAAGAAACGCUCUGGCUUAAUACGCCGGGGUAAUGACGGUACCUGAAGAAGAAGCACCGGCUAACUACGUGCCAGCCGCCGCCGUAAAAC